AAUAAUAGCGUUAUCUUAAUGCUAUUCUGUUUGCAGUCCAAAGUAGUUAAUGUGAUGUUGAAACUCAGUGAAUAUACUAUUUAAAGUGAUUAAAUUGCAAUGCAUAUUUUCAAAAGAUUGGGAUUUACACAUGCAAGGAUAAAAUCAUACGUUAAUAAUUUCACGGUAGUAGUGUAGAAGUGAUAGACUUACUACAAAAUAAUUAGUAUAUGUGAAAUUACCAGCAAUGUGGAUAGCGAUAAUGAAGAUUUUCUUGUUCCUUAUUGCGAUGCAAAGAUUAUGGUGUGGUGCCUCUGCUAACGAAGAUAAUUAUAAGGACUAUGAAUUGUACCCUACCUCAAAAUCGUCUUGCAACAGAAACUGUCAAAAAUGCAUCGCUGAAAGAUGUGAAAGCUGCAAACAAGGGCGGUAUGGGCGGAACUGUUCACAGCUAUGUCCAAUAACUUGCGAGCAUGACGUUUGCGAUAUGCAAACUGGCGACUGCACUUCCGGGUGUCGAUUUGGUUAUUAUGGGGAGAAAUGCCAAUACAGCUGCUUUAAACAAUGCUUGUUAAAACCGCAUGUCUGUCUCAAAAGGUGUUUCUCUGGGUGUAGCGAUGGUUAUUCUGGUCCGCAAUGUGAAUGUAAACCGCCUUGUCUCGAAUGCGAUUCUACUGGAGAAUGCUUAAGGUGCCCACUCGGCAAGUUUGGGCUAACCUGCGAAAAGUAUUGCUCGCGUAACUGUAAACACGGGAUUUGUGACGUUAGAAAUGGCUCGUGCUCCAGUGGAUGUGAUGGCGACUUUUACGGCCAGCAUUGUAACAUUACAUGUCCUGGCACUUGUAGCAAGAUCAAAUACGGACCUUCCUGUCAUGACGAGAGUGGGGCGUGCUUAUUGGACUGUCCGGUCGGGUUUUAUGGCCUACGAUGUGCAAACGUGUGCCACCAUUGUGUGGACGACAUAUGCAUGAAGGAUGACGGUGUCUGCACUUAUGGGUGCAUUAAGGGAUACAGCUAUGACGAUGUUGGCAAAAUGUGCAUAGCAGGUACCAACGACACGUUUAUGGAUCGCAGCAGCGCCCUUGUGUCUUCCACUUCUACAGUCGGUGUCGUACUCGGAGUUGUUUCGGGAGUUGUCGUGCUUAUUGGCUGCGUGGUCAUGGCAGCUAUUUGUUACAGAAGAAAGGGGCAAAAAACUUUUUAAUGACUCGGAAGUGCACCCUCCUGUUGAGUUGCCAGCCAUUUCUAAUUCCACGUACGAAAUGUUUGAAGAUAUGUCUGGAAAGCGACCCGCGAAUAAUAACAAGUUUCCAGCACUGGGUGCCCAGAUUCAAAGACUUCUCGGGAAAAACAACACAACCUCACCAAGUGUUUCAAAUUUAGGAUGCGUGAGCGAAAACUUUGGAAGCCCUGAUGUAGAUGUUAACUACAUUACACCGAUCAACAGUAACAUGUACGACAGUAUAGACGGGGAUCAAGAAACGUCCGUGGCUCCGAUAGGACUGGUUCAUAAUUCAGCUCCGUCAUCAAACACAGCAAAGUCCCCGAGUAUAUUCUUUCGAGAGCCAGGUACCAUCCAUCCUAACAUCGAAACACACAGAGAGUAUCACAACGUCGAUUUACCGGUUUCUCAAGUUAGAACAACAAACAGUCUAAUGAUCCCGUCCACAUCCGACGGGUACGAAGCUGUCGGGUACGAAGGAAACAUUUACACAGACCCGGACAAUCUUGUGUUUUAAUCGAGCAAGAAAUAGACAGUGUUUUUGACUUUCUACUAUAUCCACACACGCAAGUGUUGGACCUUUCAAGACAGCGAAUACAAUUGGGAGUAUACUACCUAAAGUUACGUCACUGACAAAAUAGUCAAUACCUACUGUGCAGCCUACGUGCAAAAAAACUCAGUAAGCAAGUCACGAACAGAUAACAAUAAAGCGCCACUUAAGUUUGGUGGGGAUGGUGGAGACAAAUUAAAUACCGGUUAACACCAGCCGGCUUAAAUAUCAACUUGGGCUUUAAUGUGCGAAAACGUGGAGUGCUUACGGUACAAUUAGGCUUAUUAUCCAUGGCAUCAAACAUUAUAUAGUUAUACACAAUGUGUGCAAGUUUGGUCGAGAUUUAAUGUAAAAUAGCGUUCCUUGCUAUUCCUAUCAAUUAAGAGUUGACGCGUUGUGGACGUCGGAUUUAUUUUCGGAGUACACUUUUUAAAGUAAUGUAUUCAAUAAAAUACCUUAUCGUGCAGCUUACUUGCAAAA